ensembl:lncRNA
AAGGUUAGGGUUGUUUUUUUUUUUUUUAACAUUCUCUUCAGAACCAAACCUGAUGGAAAGCAAGCACUGAUUCAAAUACAAAACUAAAAAUACAAAACCGAGGGUACGGAUUGGAAAACUGAGGGUACGGAUUACAAAAGUGAGGGUAUGGUUUACAAAACUGAGGGUACGGAUUGCAAAACUGAGGGUAGGGAUUACAAAACUGGGGGUACGGAUUGCAAAACUGAAGGUACGGUUUGCAAAACUGAGGGUACGGUUUGCAAAACUGAGGGUAGGGAUUACAAAACUGAGGGUACGGUUUGCAAAACUGAGGGUAUGGAUUACACAUGGCUGUAUUUUUUUUCUUACCUGACACUAGGGGGGCUCCGUAAUAAUCUACUGUUUGCUUGGUUAAAAAAAUGACAUCUUCCUCAUUAGAAUCAAUUUGUGUUGGUAAAAAUACAAAGUUUAUUACUUAUAACUCCAAUAAAGCAACCUCUUUCAUAUCAAUCAAAUAUUUUUGGUAUGAAAAAAAAAAUACAGCAUUUGUUUCCACCAGUAAAGGUUCAAGAUC